rnacentral:rRNA from 1 species
AUUGAACGCUGGCGGCAUGCCUUACACAUGCAAGUCGAACGGCAGCACGGGAGCAAUCCUGGUGGCGAGUGGCGAACGGGUGAGUAAAGUAUCGGAACGUUCCCAGUCGUGGGGGAUAACGUAGCGAAAGUUACGCUAAUACCGCAUACGAUCUAUGGAUGAAAGCGGGGGAUCGCAAGACCUCGCGCGAUUGGAGCGGCCGAUUACAGAUUAGGUAGUUGGUGGGGUAAAGGUUCACCAAGCCGACGAUCUGUAGCUGGUCUGAGAGAACGACCAGCCACACUGGGACUGAGACACGGCCCAGACUCCUACGGGAGGCAGCAGUGGGGAAUUUUGGACAAUGGGCGAAAGCCUGAUCCAGCCAUGCCGCGUGCAGGAUGAAGGCCUUCGGGUUGUAAACUGCUUUUGUACGGAACGAAAAGGUUUGGCCUAAUAAGCUGAGCUCAUGACGGUACCGUAAGAAUAAGCACCGGCUAACUACGUGCCAGCAGCCGCCGUAA